GAAGAACUUACGAAAUAUCACCAUUUAUCACCAUGCAUCCCUAAUGGAUUGCACAUCAAAAUACUUUUAUGUGUUAUAUAGUUCCUGAAGAACUAAUAAAACAACUUCUUUUUUCUCUUCAAUGAAUUCUAGAUAAAUUCAAUAUUCCUACAUCCUUGAAGGAUUGUAAAUUGAUAGUGAUUUAUUAUAUAGUUCCUGAAGAACUCAAUGGAUAAAAUUGUAAAAUUCAAUUGCUAAGUAAAUUUCACAUAAAGCAUGUAGCAUGAAUCGCAC
rnacentral:lncRNA from 1 species